UACGGAGGGUGCAAGCGUUAUCCGGAUUCACUGGGUUUAAAGGGUGCGUAGGCGGGUAGGUAAGUCAGUGGUGAAAUCCUGGAGCUCAACUCCAGAACUGCCAUUGAUACUAUCUAUCUUGAAUAUUGUGGAGGUAAGCGGAAUAUGUCAUGUAGCGGUGAAAUGCUUAGAUAUGACAUAGAACACCCAUUGCGAAGGCAGCUUACUACGCAUAUAUUGACACUGAGGCACGAAAGCGUGGGGAUCAAACAGGAUUAGAUACCCUGGUAGUCCACGCCCUAAACGAUGGAUACUCGACAUACGCGAUACACUGUGUGUGUCUGAGCGAAAGCAUUAAGUAUCCCACCUGGGAAGUACGUUCGCAAGAAUGAAACUCAAAGGAAUUGGCGGGGGUCCGCACAAGCGGUGGAGUAUGUGGUUUAAUUCGAUGAUACGCGAGGAACCUUACCUGGGCUAGAAUGCUGGGAGACCGCUAGUGAAAGCUAGUUUUGUAGCAAUACACUGCCAGUAAGGUGCUGCAUGGCCGUCGUCAGCUCGUGCCGUGAGGUGUUGGGUUAAGUCCCGCAACGAGCGCAACCCCUAUCUUUAGUUGCCAACAGGUAAUGCUGGGAACUCUAAAGAAACUGCCGCCGUAAGGUGUGAGGAAGGAGGGGAUGAUGUCAGGUCAUCAUGGCCUUUAUGCCCAGGGCUACACACGUACUACAAUGGGGGAGACAAAGGGCUGCAACAUAGCGAUAUGAAGCCAAUCCCAAAAACUCCCUCUCAGUUCAGAUUGCAGGCUGCAACUCGCCUGCAUGAAGCUGGAAUCGCUAGUAAUCGUAUAUCAGCAAUGAUACGGUGAAUACGUUCCCGGACCU
rnacentral:rRNA from 1 species